GGCGACGUGGCCGAGUGGUUAGGCAGUGGCCUGCAAAGCCAUCUACCCCAGUUCAAAUCUGGGCGUCGCCU
rnacentral:tRNA from 1 species